rnacentral:rRNA from 1 species
GACCUCGGAUCAGGUAGGGAUACCCGCUGAACUUAAGCAUAUCAAUAAGCGGAGGAAAAGAAACCAACCGGGAUUGCCCCAGUAACGGCGAGUGAAGCGGCAAGAGCUCAAAUUUGAAAUCUGGCCCCUCCGGGGUCCGAGUUGUAAUUUGCAGAGGAUGCUUCGGGUGCGGCCCCUGUCUAAGUGCCCUGGAACGGGCCGUCAGAGAGGGUGAGAAUCCCGUCUUGGGCAGGGUGCCCGUGCCCGUGUGAAGCUCCUUCGACGAGUCGAGUUGUUUGGGAAUGCAGCUCUAAAUGGGUGGUAAAUUUCAUCUAAAGCUAAAUACCGGCCGGAGACCGAUAGCGCACAAGUAGAGUGAUCGAAAGAUGAAAAGCACUUUGAAAAGAGAGUUAAACAGCACGUGAUAUUGUUGAAAGGGAAGCGC